UGGGGAAUUUUGGACAAUGGGCGAAAGCCUGAUCCAGCAAUGCCGCGUGUGUGAAGAAGGCCUUCGGGUUGUAAAGCACUUUUGUCCGGAAAGAAAUCCUUGGCUCUAAUACAGUCGGGGGAUGACGGUACCGGAAGAAUAAGCACCGGCUAACUACGUGCCAGCAGCCGCGGUAAUACGUAGGGUGCAAGCGUUAAUCGGAAUUACUGGGCGUAAAGCGUGCGCAGGCGGUUUGCUAAGACCGAUGUGAAAUCCCCGGGCUCAACCUGGGAACUGCAUUGGUGACUGGCAGGCUAGAGUAUGGCAGAGGGGGGUAGAAUUCCACGUGUAGCAGUGAAAUGCGUAGAGAUGUGGAGGAAUACCGAUGGCGAAGGCAGCCCCUGGCCAAGUACUGACGCUCAUGCACGAAAAGCGUGGGGGAGCAAAACAGGAUUAGAUACCCUGGUAGUCCACGCCCUAAACGAUGUCAACUAGUUGUUGGGGAUUCAUUUCCUUAGUAACGUAGCUAACGCGUGAAGUUGACCGCCUGGGGAGUACGGUCGCAAGAUU
rnacentral:rRNA from 1 species